CCCACCGUGUUCAGGGACAACCCUGUGAUCAUGGUUUUGGUCACAUAGCUUCCAAGUGAGUGUUGUGCAAACAUUUGCUAGGAUCUCUCGGGGAGCCUGUUAGAAAAGAAACUCCUGAGCCUGCUCCAGAGCUUCUGUUCAGCAGGCCUGAGGUGGGACCAUACACCUGUCUUUUCAGCAAGCCCCCCCCCACCUCUGAGGAUGCACCCCAAAGCUAGAGAAUUCCUGCUCUGAGCCAUCUCUGAAAGCACCAAGAGCCAGGGCCAGGGAAGCUGGGCUGGAGGAAGCUGUCUGGGAGCCCAGGAGGCAAGCAGAAAACCGCCAGGACCGCCCCACGCUGGGGGAGCAGCAGCUCACGGAGGAGAUGCCAGCUCACGGAGGAAAAUCUGGAAGGUGUUGAAGCAUAGACGCUGGAACAUAAAAUGACUCAUGAUCUCACUGGGAGAAGGGCUGGGAACAUCGUGGGCUCUCUUCUCCCCGCGCUCCUCUCUCCGGGUCUCUGUUUCCCUCAUUCCACGAUGUUUAGAACCAUCGGCGCACUACAUCAGACUAGAGGUCUGGGGUCACCCGACCAUCCCGCCACAAGCCCCUCCGAGGCAUCACUGUGUCCAGAUUUUGCAAACUGCACCUCCUGAAGGGGCUGGGGUCUGUCCACUUCGCCCCAUCUGCCGUGGCAGCACUUCCUCCGUGGUUCGCACCCCCACAGCAGCCUCCUGGGAAGGCACCUCCCUGGGGCCCCUCUCAGUCCACGGUGUGGAUAUGGCAGCAAGCUAUGCAUUUUGCAUAUAUUAGCAAAUCCAUGAGGCAGGUGCUGUCUUCAUUGUACAGGUCAGGAAGAUUCCUGCAGCUGCUGAGUUAGUACUUUUAAGAAAGUACUGGAUUCCCUCUCACAAUGGGACUUUGAUUUUUUUAAGAAAAAGGUUUCAUAAGUUUUCAAAUAACCUGGAGCAGUUGAGCAAACUUAAUGUGCAGCGUGGUCCCUGCUGGCUGGGUUUGAGGGGCUGGGUCUCUCUGAGUGGAUGCUGGUGAGGUGCAGAGGAAGAAGAAAAGGUGCCUGAGGGCCUGUGUGGAAGGCCUGUCACACAGCACAUCCUGGGAAAUCUGUCCAGGAAGCAGCCAGGCGGGCAUCAGCCAGGCGGGCAUCAGCAUCUUCACUGUGCAGAUGAGAAACUGAGGCCGCAGAGGUGAAGGGACAUGCCCAGGAUCACUAAGCGUUUCAGCAUCUCUAUAAAACCCUCACAGGUGAUCCCUAGAAACACAGCCAGUGGCCCGGAAGCUGCACUGUUUUGUGCACCGCAGGGAUGGGCACAGAUGGGGCUGCCUGCCCUCCUCCUGGAAGGAGGGAGAACCCAGUCUGGCCUGGAGUGGUCAAGAGCUAACUCUAGACUCAGCAAGACCUACUUCUCUCUCCUGCCCCUACUUCCUUGCUGCUGACCUGGGCAAGUCGCUGAAGCCUCUCCGUGCCUCAGUCUGCUCGUGCGUAAGAUGGGCACAGGGCACACUGCCUACUUGAUUGGGCUCAACCACGUGCAGUAAGUAGCUGGUGUCUGGCAAGAGCCCUCAGGAAACAGUAACCCCAUUAAUUCAAAUGCACGUGCCUGGAACAGGCUCUGGGGGGCCAGCCCGGGAGUCCCACUCCAUGAUGGCCACCCUGGGGCCUGGCAGGCUGGGCUGGCAUCCCAGGCCCACCGGAUACUGGCUGUGCACCCCGGCCAGGCCACACAUCUCUGAGCCUCACUUUCCCGUGUGUGAGAUGAGGCUAGAAGCUGCUUUCUCUUGCGUGUGUGGGGAUUGGCGGUGACAACACGGCCAGGAGCCCAGGCCCAGCCUACGCGAGCAGCCUCGCUCCAGGCCACACGCCCCACUCCUGACAGCUCUGUGCAGCGAGUUCGUGCGCGAGCGGGUGGCUGUCUGCCAGGCGAGGGGCGCGGGUGCCCAAGAGGGCUUCACUGCUUCUGGAAAGAUCACAAGGAAAAACCACCUCCGCGGCGGGACGCUACCCGCGGGCCGCUGCGGUCCCGCUCGCGGCCGGCAGGGGGCAGGAUGUCCCCGCGAGUCGCCCGUGUCUUCGGGUGUCCUCAGGUCACCCCGCACCGCUCGCAGCCUCCGCGCCUAGUUAAAGGGCGACGCACUCAUUUCUGCAAAGAAGGAGCCCAGCGGCCCCUCCCCGGGGAACUCUUUCCAUCAACUCGGGGCCUAAUAAUUUACAUUUAAUUUGUUAGCGGUUUAAUGUUUAAUUUUAAAAGCGAGAUGAUUCAUUACCAUAUUAAUAAAUAAUAACAUUUAUUAUUCUCCUAAUGAGUGUCCAAAAUACAGAAGCAAUUACAUGUUUUAUAUAUUUUCUCGUAAUUUGAGACACCAGAGCGUUAAUUACAGAGACUCACGCGUGGACCCCAUUCUGAUCCAGGGUCCUGAUCCUGCCUUUGUUUCGGUCUCUGAACCAGCCGCCCUCCGGGGCUUCUGCAAUUCCCUCAAUUAGAGGAGAGGAAGUCGUACGUGACGAAGCUGGGGCUCUCACAGAACCCCGGCGCCCCAGACCCAGGAGCUGCAAGACCUCAGCUCCCCGUGCCCACACUCGGAGACCCAGGCCCCUCCCAGUCCCCCGUCUCCUCUGUGCAGGGUUCUUCAGGAAGAAUCGGAAAGAGGCCCCCCGACCCACAACCAGCCUCGCAUUCCCUCCUCCCGCAGGGAUCCAUUGAGCUGGGGGGUGGGACUAUCCUCACUUCACAGAUGGGGAAACUGAGUCCUGGAGAGAGACGCUCCGGUGUCCUCAGCUGGUGAGGGGCAGAUCCGGGAGCCACGUCCCACGCAGUCGGUUGGCCCCAAGCUUGGUUCCUGCCUCAACCCCAGCGCAGGUUGCAGCAGGCCCGCGUAGGAGGGCGGCCUGGGUCUGGACAGAUCCACAGCCGGCCAACGCCCCUGGCUAGCUCUCUAUGGCUUUGCUUCUUCUCUUGACUUGCCAAGUUCUUCUUGUUCAUUGUAGAAAAUGUGGAAGGUGAGGCCGGGAGCGGUGGCUCACGCCUGUAAUCCUAGCACUUUGGGAGGCCGAGGCGGGCAGAUUGCCUGAGCUCAGGAGUUCGAGACCAGCCUGGGCAACAUGGUGAAACACGUCUCUACUAAAAAAAAAAAAAAAAAAAAAAAAAAAAUUUGCUGGGCGUGACGGCAGGCGCCUGUAGUCCCAGUGGGAGUUUGGGGAGGCUGAGGCAGGAGAAUCACUUGAACCCGGGAAGCAGAGAUUGCAGUGAGCCGAGAUCGUGCCACUGCACUCCAAUCUAGCGACAGAGCAAGACUCCGUCUCAAAAAAAAAAAAAAAAAAAAAAGUGGAAGGUGAAAAAAACACGGAGAGACAGCAAAGCUGGCAAUGACAUAGCUCCAAAAAUCCCACUUCUCAGAUAAGAUGCAGGCAGUAAGGGCCUGGAGUUUUAUGUAUCCUGAUGUUUGAAAGGGCUUGGACAGGGCACUUCCUCCCUCCAUAGCUCUUCUGUCCUUAGGAAUCCCUCCCUUCUGGAGGGGAAGGGUGGGGGUUUUCCUGUUUGGUCCCCAGGGAAGGAAGUUCAGAGACAGAGGCCCACUCAGGGCCACCCCCUGGCCUGCACCCCUGAAAUGCAAUUUGGAUAAUAUGGAAAAUUACUAGGAAGAAAAAACGCUAUAAUCCCCCCACCUAGAGAUAACCAGGCGUUCUGGUAUAUACCUAUUGAGGACUUUUUUCCCAAGCAAAUACUCAGAAAGAGACUUCCUCCCAAUAGGCAUGAGAUCUUACUCCACGUGCAGUUUGUCUUAUCUUGAUUUUUUUCCAGUAAUCUUUUAAGAGUUUCCCAUGCCAUGUAGUCAUUCUUCAAAAACCCACUUUGAACAGCUGCGUAAUAUUCCGCUGUGGAGGAGUGCCCUGCAGUGUAGAGAAAUGAGUUAUUUACGCUGAAGUCUGUUAUUACAUGGACAUCUUCCCUUUUCUGACCCUGCAAUGACCACACUCAUAGGUGAGUCUCUCUGGAAAUCCUUGACUACCUCCUUAGGGUCCAUUCUUAGAAGUGGAAUUACUGGGUUAGAGGGCAUGAGUGCCUUGAGGGCGGCUGUCUCCCUCUACCUGCAUGCCUGCCAGGGCAAACCCGUGCAUGCUCCCAGGACAGGCCUGGCAGGGCGUGUCUCCCUGCUGCACCCUUGGUACCCUUGGCAGGGCUAACAUUAUCCUCUAAACCAGGUCUUUGCAGCACUUACCCUUUUCAAGGUGCUACUGUACCUCUCCUUUAAGGAG
rnacentral:lncRNA from 10 species